rnacentral:lncRNA from 1 species
UUUUUCGAUGGUUUUUUGUUUCAAAACAAGAACGCAAAAAUAAUCAGAGAAAGUUCGACAAUGAAAGGUGAUAAGGAUUACCAUGAGUUGAUAAGGAGUCUCCAUCAAAAUCUACAGAAAAUAAGCUCUUCAAUGACUAUAAUGCUCCCUAGAAUCAUCCUCCAAAAGCUCAUAGCCGUCACUUUCUAUAAAAAUUUGGAACCUCUAAAAAGUACCUAAAAU